rnacentral:lncRNA from 1 species
GAUCCAGGAUUUGAUAGAUGACUGCCCUUCCUUUGAUCUUGGCUUCUGAUGGAAGUGGAAGGUACAGCUCUAUUUUAUACGUACUCCAUGAUCUUUACUCCUACAAAGAAGCUCUAUUUUAUACUCCCUCCGUCCCAAAAUAAGUGUCUUAACCUUAGUACAACUUUGUACUAGAGCUAGUACAAAGUUAAGACAGUUAUUUUGGGUCGGGGGGAGUACUCCAUAAUCUUCACUCCUACAAAGAUGUCCACUGGUAACAGUAGCCCUUUCACCUUUUGACAGUGUGAAGUAUUACCUCCGUCCAUAAUUACUUGUCUUAGAUUUAUCUAGAUACGGAGUAUGAACCAUCAGACCUGGAUCAAACUUCCCUCAAAAAGACAAAAAAAAAGCUGGAUCGAACGGGUCCACCUCUCUCUCUCUCUCUUUCUCAUCUUCGUCAGCAAUUAUAUGCUGCCCCUGACCCUGCUCCUCCUUAUUGGCACAUCCUUUCCGCAGGAUGUGCAAAAUAAUAUAUUACCUCCGUCACAAAUUAGUUGUAUCUAACACUAAACCGUGUCUAGAUACAUCCGUAUCUGGACAAAUCUGAGACAACUAAUUCGGGGCAUAGGGAGUAUGAUGUUAGUUUGCAGCAACUCAGGGAUAAUAUCCUAGUACCUGGUACCAUUAGAUAAGUUUGUCUGGGCUAUUUGCUUCGCAUCUCGCACAUAGACAUAGUGAAGCAUGCCUGAAGUUGACCCAGUUUGUCUCCGCUUUGAUCGGUAAAACUUUGAGUUCUGACGAGGCAUAUGGAGCCAUAUGGACACAUGGCCAAGGAGGCGCAGCUUCUCCGAAGACAUGAACCGGUCACCAUCCACCACUCGGUAGAAUCAUACUGACCUACGUAACAAAAAACCAUGCUUUCACAGCAGCACUGUAGAAACUUCUGCCGCCCCUUUCGUCUCGCCGGCAGCUGGUCACUGCAGCACGUGGUGGUGAAUUGGAUUCACGCGCGCCCGUCCCGGUCGUGGACCAACAGCUGCUGGAUCUAUCCAUGUACUGCUGUUAGGUAAAACCACUGGCCGCUGCACGCUCAAUAGAGCAUGCGGGCUGCAGCUCACAGCCCAACACAUGCGAGGCAAGUUCCAGGCCUAACCCGUGUUCACUUCUCUGCUGCCAGAUGGGAAGAUGUGCGAAGCUUUUGCACGUUCUCUAAAGGGUAAGACCUGCACAUGAAAGGAAGGCUCACAGCCUGUGGCGAGCCAAAGAUUGCUCUGUAUGUACAGCCCAUUCGAGAUUUACGUGUAGACGUUUUCAGAAACGAAAAUAUCUGUGCAGGAAGUGUUGACUCCUGUAUGUGGUUUCCUUUGCUUGCUUGCUGAGCUUUGCUUUGCAUUGUACGCAGGGUGCCGUGCAUGGCUUGGGCGGACUGUGUCACGAAACAAUCAAAUCUCUUGUUUGUUGGCGAGAGAUCGGGCAAAAGCGGCAGUUCUCUCAAGAAAUUAAGCGCGUUGAGCGGGGAGAAGAAUGACCUUACGUGUGGGUGUGGGUUGUCAUGAUUGUACACUGUCAGUUUUACUCUCGUCUUGCGUCCUUCUUUAUAUUAGCGAGUGAUUGCUUUACCUUUUGUUUUAUACUGUAGUAUAUAGCAUGGCGUGAUAUGUUUUGUUUUUCUAUAGCAGCUUACCACAUAUAACAUGGCCUUUUGUUUAUGAUAAAAUCGUAGAGACUAGAACAUGUUUUCUCCAGUGAAAAUCCAUGGAUGUUGUUUAUAGAAUGGAAAUCUCGUGGAGACUUUGCCUAGUUCUUUUACACUGUCGGUGAUUUUGUGGAAAUCAACGCACUCGUUUGAACAACAGAAAAAUCCACACGGGCCUGUUUGAUUCGCAAGGUAUCAAAGACAUAAUAAAAAAAGAAUAAACAAAAUCAAAAUGUCACACACUAUUAAAUUCUACUCCCUC